rnacentral:rRNA from 1 species
ACGAACGCUGGCGGCACGCUUAACACAUGCAAGUCGAACGAGAGAAGAGAAGCUUGCUUUUCUGAUCUAGUGGCGGACGGGUGAGUAACACGUGAGCAAUCUGCCUUUCAGAGGGGGAUACCGAUUGGAAACGAUCGUUAAUACCGCAUAAUAUAAUUGAACCGCAUGAUUUGAUUAUCAAAGAUUUAUCGCUGAAAGAUGAGCUCGCGUCUGAUUAGCUAGUUGGUAAGGUAACGGCUUACCAAGGCGACGAUCAGUAGCCGGACUGAGAGGUUGAUCGGCCACAUUGGGACUGAGACACGGCCCAGACUCCUACGGGAGGCAGCAGUGGGGAAUAUUGCACAAUGGAGGAAACUCUGAUGCAGCGAUGCCGCGUGAGGGAAGAAGGUUUUAGGAUUGUAAACCUCUGUCUUCAGGGACGAAAAAAGACGGUACCUGAGGAGGAAGCUCCGGCUAACUACGUGCCAGCAGCCGCGGUAAUACGUAGGGAGCGAGCGUUGUCCGGAAUUACUGGGUGUAAAGGGAGCGUAGGCGGGAUCGCAAGUCAGAUGUGAAAACUAUGGGCUUAACCCAUAAACUGCAUUUGAAACUGUGGUUCUUGAGUGAAGUAGAGGUAAGCGGAAUUCCUAGUGUAGCGGUGAAAUGCGUAGAUAUUAGGAGGAACACCAGUGGCGAAGGCGACUUUCUGGACAGUAACUGACGUUGAGGCACGAAAGUGUGGGGAGCAAACAGGAUUAGAUACCCUGGUAGUCCACGCCGUAAACGAUGAUUACUAGGUGUGGGGGGACUGACCCCUUCCGUGCCGCAGCAAACGCAAUAAGUAAUCCACCUGGGGAGUACGACCGCAAGGUUGAAACUCAAAGGAAUUGACGGGGGCCCGCACAAGCAGUGGAGUAUGUGGAUUAAUUCGAAGCAACGCGAAGAACCUUACCAGGUCUUGACAUCGUAUGCAUAGCUCAGAGAUGAGUGAAAUCUCUUCGGAGACAUAUAGACAGGUGGUGCAUGGUUGUCGUCAGCUCGUGUCGUGAGAUGUUGGGUUAAGUCCCGCAACGAGCGCAACCCUUACUGUUAGUUGCUACGCAAGAGCACUCUAGCAGGACUGCCGUUGACAAAACGGAGGAAGGUGGGGAUGACGUCAAAUCAUCAUGCCCCUUAUGACCUGGGCCUCACACGUACUACAAUGGCUGUCAACAGAGGGAUGCAAAGCCGCGAGGUGGAGCGAACCCCUAAAAGCAGUCUUAGUUCGGAUUGUAGGCUGCAACCCGCCUACAUGAAGUCGGAAUUGCUAGUAAUCGCAGAUCAGCAUGCUGCGGUGAAUACGUUCCCGGGCCUUGUACACACCGCCCGUCACGCCAUGGGAGUCGGUAACACCCGAAGCCUGUAGUCUAACCGCAAGGAGGACGCAGUCGAAGGUGGGAUUGAUGACUGGGGUG